CGUAGGGUGCAAGCGUUGUCCGGAAUUAUUGGGCGUAAAGAGCUCGUAGGCGGUCUGUCACGUCGGCUGUGAAAACCCGAGGCUCAACCUCGGGCCUGCAGUCGAUACGGGCAAACUAGAGUACUGCAGGGGAGACUGGAAUUCCUGGUGUAGCGGUGAAAUGCGCAGAUAUCAGGAGGAACACCGGUGGCGAAGGCGGGUCUCUGGGCAGUAACUGACGCUGAGGAGCGAAAGCGUGGGGAGCGAACAGGAUUAGAUACCCUGGUAGUCCACGCCGUAAACGUUGGGCGCUAGAUGUGGGGGCCAUUCCACGGUCUCCGUGUCGCAGCUAACGCAUUAAGCGCCCCGCCUGGGGAGUACGGCCGCAAGGCUA
rnacentral:rRNA from 1 species